GGGAAAUUUGGCAACGACUGAUGGCUCAUACGACGUUCUUCUUAAGUACGGCAGAAUAUUCAUCAUGGAUUUCACCAUUAUGUGAAGGGUGGAAAUAAAUAUGGCCCAUGCGUUGGAAAAGACGUUAUGACAGAGGUGAAGUUUUCUACUUUAAUAGCUUGAAAAACCUGGGAAUCAGGGUAAAAUAUUACUGCAAAUAUUGCACAAGUGACAUUGAAGACGUGAUUUAAAUGGUUUCAAGUUGAAGGAUCCAAAGGAUACAGAGAUUAAAAACAAAAUAAGAGACCUAUUUUGGCAUCCCUCAUGUUAGAUAAAGACUUAAAAUGUUCUAAUGAAAUAGGUCACUCCAACUUAAUUGGACUUCAUUUUUCAAUUAGGAACUACAAUUUCGGACUCAUUUUUAAAAACACUUACAUACACUCAGCAACUAAUAGCACAUAUGUUGUUUCUAAUCUGAGCCAGAAAUUGUACUUCCGAAUUGCAAAAUGUAGUCCAACUUCAGAAGUUGAAGUGCCGAGAAGUUUCCGACACGUCUCCUGGAAUCAUAUUUCUUAAAUGAUGAAACUGAUACUCGGGACUUCUAUUUACUUCCACUCUUCGACUUGAUGAAACUACAUAUUUGCGUGACUUAAAGAGCCAAUAUUUUACACUAACAACUUUCAGGGGGAAAAGGACACUUGCAAUGGUAAAAUAGCCGAAACCUGAAAUGAGGCAAUUUUUCCCAGCAUUUAAUUUCUGGGAUUUAACACGGAAAGUUUACCAAAUAAAAGGUUAAAAAAAAUCCACGGAAAAAGGCUUUUUCUUAGGCUAGAAAAUGAUAGUUACAGUUAAUACAAAGAAAAAAAAAAAAUUUAUCUCCAUGUAUAAGCUGCAUGUUCAAUUGAAGUUCAGUGAAAAUACUGAUAUCAAAUAGAGAAUGAUUUGCUGUUGCCUCCACAUUAUUGAAAAAAUUUGAGUUGUUUACAUGAGAUAGAAUUAAAAAAAACUGCAGCUUUUUCACAAAAUAUCAUUUAAACACAUAAAUUGAAUUAGUUUUUGAUGAUUAUCAAUGGUGCCAUGCCAUUUGUAACUAUUGAUAUCACAAUUUGGCACAACUUGCUAUUAACUUUCUGCUGCUCCAGCAAUAAGCGACUAAUUCUUUAGCAACUGUAUGAAAAUCUUUUCCAUAACUAAUAUUGAGCAGUGUAAACUCCAGGUUAGCUCUCACAUUUGGUUGAAAGCUGUUGAGACACCCCGAAUUUCAUAUUCACGGAGAAGUAAAGGAGACAAGCACUGAUGAAGGAGCAAGAGCGUUAGUGAUAGCGAUGUCCAUCCGGUUAGAAAGCAAUGAGUGAGGUUUAGCUGCCAAGCGAAGAGAAGAGAGAGUACAAGCGGCAAGAUUGUAAAAAGACUAGAGAUUUUUUGUUUGAACCAACAUCACAACAACAAAAUCACUAGUCUUCCAUACAAGACAGGCCGGAAAAAGAGACAGGAUAGCUUUAGACAAAGCAGCUUGCGAUGCUUCAGGUGAGCGACUUGUUCAGGAGGUUAAUCCAUCAUCGAAUCGUCAAGAUGCUGAUCGAGACCAUGGCCGGUUGUUCCUGAGAAUCAUGCAACUUUCGCAGAACGAACUUUUGUUACAAAAACACUUUUAGUGUGUUAACGUUGAAAGAAUAAGUGAUGCUUUUCUUCAGUAUGUGACCGUCUUCAGGCAAAGAGACCUCAGUGCAAAGAUUUCAUAAUUGAAUUAGCGCAAUACUGCUGGGGUAAGUACUGCAUGUAAAUUUUGACACAGCGACACCCAAAAAAGUCUACCCGGAGAAGAGUAAUGAUGGUUUAAAGUUUGCAGUUUAAAAGCGCAGCAAGGAAAAAUUUGACUUCUUUUACUUGGAAUUUAAGCGACUUCAUGCUCUUUGUCAGCACAAAAAUGAACUUCGCCGAAGAAAUUUAUUCUUUACGAUAGUACAUGAUGCUUAGUAAAUGAAAGCCACUUUCAGAUUUCUCAACAAGACUUGACAAAAGCCACUCUUCUAAGAAGAAUUUCUUCUUUGCACUUAGGUCUCAAUUUCCCAUGGUUCAUCAUGUUUUGAAUUAAUUAUAUCAAAAAAGGAUCAGCUUUAUGGAAAAUCAGCUGUGGUCUUUUCAUGCACAUCAUCCACACGGAGCUAUAAAAUCUGUGGCAACUUUGUUAAAAAUUAAAUCGUUUCCAUCACAUAUUGCAACGUGCAAUUCUUUAUUCGAGUCCUAUUGAGACCCAUGAUGGGGCUAUUGUUUGAUAGAGCUUAUACACAAGAGAGCACAGCAUGAGAUUUCAUGUUCGUCGACCUUUCGAUUGUUAAAGGGACAGGCCCACUCAAGAAAUCGGAGAUUCAAACAGUUAAGAAGAAGAAGGACCAAAUAAUUUGCAGCAAAUCAUGCCUUCACUGAUGAUUUUCAAAUGAAGUUUCAUAAAGGUGCAAGGUAAAAACAUCAGACCAAAAGUGACAGAAAAAUUGGGAGGAAAAUGCUGAAGCACAUCACUUUGAGGUUCAAUACUUGAAACGUAUAAGUCUGCUGCUUGAAUUGACGACUACCUUCAGCACAACAAGCUGGCAAAGGAACUCUAUCACAUAUUUUUUGACAGAUUAAUGCCACAUUCAGUUGCCAACUUGCAAGCGGCGAGUGCCAUACUUUGAAAAGAAUGAGAUUACACAUAGGUCCAGGAACGUUGACUUUAUCCUCUAUUUUCUCUAAGGUUCCUGUUGUCAAAUUGUGCUAUCAUGAGCCUUAUUUACACAUCUUCUUAACUGUUUGAGGUCAAUGAAAAGAAUGGAAGAACAAGAUCAAACCAAAUUUGAUACCAUAAAAAUAAGUAGAUUACACAAUGUACAAAUAAUCCCAAUAUCAUUCCACAGCCUGACCACGGCAACAGUGCUUGAAGCUUCAGAUAAAGAAAAAUGAAUAAAAAAGAGGGGGAGGGGGAAGGAAUUCAGCUAACAGGACUUACAGUGUUACGGAAGCUUUUGCAUUGGUUGAAAUUUAGUAAUUAGGGUUAAUUGAAAGAGAAGGUAAAGCAUUCAGAGCAGAGGUAUCACAAAAUAAGCUCUGCUCUCCCCUCUUCAGUAAGAAAAUUUUCUUUUCUCCCUUUCUGUCAGUAAGAAAAUGAGAAAGCAAAACCUAAUGGAACAAUUAUUUUUUGUCACCUUACCGUCAUUAGAGACGGAGUAGAUGGAAAACAGAAUUUGCAGUUUUGUGACAGGUGAUUAAGUACCAUCUACCGAAAAGACAUUCUACGCACAUAUUGUCCGUGGUCAGAAUGUGGGUAAAGGAAGCCAUGAAAAAUUCAUCAGGUGAAUGAAAGACAGGGUAUGAAAAAAUACAUUUCUCUGAUUGAAAUUAGAUUUUGUCAUCCUUAUUUCACUAUAAAUCUUAAGCUAAUUCCUACUUCAUACUGAGAAAGGAUUCUGAAAGCACUUUUUCCUAAAACUGCAAAGUUUUUGAUGAUUUAUGGAAUUAGAAUUCUCUCUAGUAUAAACAAAUCGCCUCAAGUUAAUAGGUAUGUAAGUUUACAUUUUCAGGAGGCAAAAACUGGCAAUGGGGCUGAUGCGAAUGGUCUUCAUGCUCAGAUGCAAGGAGGAAAAGAUAAAUUAGAUGGCAGAAGUAGAACUGAGCACUAAAUUAAUCUGGUUUAUUUGAUGAGGUAGACCAUCAUAAUGCCGAAUAAACAGUGGCACAGUUAGAUCAGAUUUUGCGAUUAGGAACUACAAUUUCUGGCCCAUCCGUAAAACCAUUCAUGUGCAUUGAGAAACUGAUGAUACAUACGUUGUUUCCAAAUUGAGCCAGAUAAUGUGAUUCCAAAUUGCAAAAUGCAGUCCGUUUAAAUACUUGGUAAAGGGGCAACAAGUAUGCAUUUGAAUUGUGGUUUGAGUCCACGCAAAAUAGGUUUGAGCAUUUUUAGACUGCAACAGAGGACCUGCUUGAGCUAUCAAUAAGCACAAAAUGUAAACAUAAAAAUCAAAAUGGUAGAUCCCCUUCUUCACUCUGUGAAUAUUGAAAAUUAUUGGACAUGGACUCAAACCACAGCAAUCAAGAUAAAAAAAAAAAAAA